CAGCCCUGCCCGCGGAGCCUGGUGCAAGCUCGCACUCCCAUUUCCACAGGGCAAAGUCUCAUCAUUCAUGAUGAAUUACCCCCGGGCUUUCCGCAUUGGGGCCGCGUGCRGCUCGUUGCCUCCCUCUGCUGGGUGCAGCCCAGGCUGUGGGAACCACCGACCCUAYGGCCUGGAGGCUGGGCUGGGCGGCUGCUCGUACAGCGUCAAARCCCCGUUCCCAUGAGCUCGUGGUGGGGAGCAGAACUGCCUGCCGUGCACAGCUUGUCACAUAAGCACGGGGUGGUGCGGUUAUUAUCUCCAUUUCUGUGCAUGGCGAAAKGAGGCAGCAAGUUGAUGCUGCCUCACAGCUCUACCCCAUCGUUUCCGUGUCCCAUGUCAGCACCUUCACUGAAARGUUGAUUCUCCUCUUCUUACUCCUUUUCCCACUUUCCUCCUUUUUCUGAAGCAAUGAGGAGGUCUAGAAAUAAGGAGGGUCCUCUCCUGACUGGCUUGCUGAAGACAUUUUGUCSUCWGKUAAAGGAUGCCUGYGCACRGAGACCUGCACACRCAGCCCGGUGACUAUGGCUGCUGCUCUCAAACAGCAGCUGUGCCUUGAGUUUGACACUUUGAGGCUGAAAACACAAAAGCUGAGGAACUUCAAAGCUGUGCCCACUUUUCGGGCCUGACCUGUAGGUUGCCACCAGCAUGGGGCAGGAAAGAAGAGCCCCUGGAAGCUGCUGGGCAAUGCUGGAAACUCUGCCACGUUUGGGACUCUCUCUGAAGGUGACUGGUUUGGUUUGGAGGCUGAUCUCCCUCAUUCCUGGCUGUCCCAGGAGCUGGCAUCCUCAUCUCACUGUGGUUGUUAGCAGAAACAUUUCUACAGCCCCUCAGCACAGCUGGAUGCAGACUUCAUGCCAAAAGUGUCUUCUGUGUGCAUGGGGUUCAUCCUCUCUCGCUCCCACGCACACACGUACACACCUUCUGCCUCUGCAAGGCUGGAGAGGAGCAAUAUAUGAAGGCAGAAGCAACGCAGGAGGCAAAUCACACCUUUGUUGUGUGCCCCAGUUUCCCCUCUGCAAAACCAAGUGAGAGACAGCAACGCGAAAGGUGCUGCAGAGCUCCAGCAUGAACUAAACUGGACUGAAAGGUGUCCGUCAGAAAACUGCUGAGCCUCCAGGUGCAAGGGCAAGAGGCAGCUGSGGGAACAGAAGAGUCUUUCCUCCACUCAAUGUGUGCAUGCAUCAAUGAGAGCUGCACCAGCUACAGUGAAGCUCUCGAUGGUGCUGAGGCCACAGGUGAGAAGAUCUGCUUCCCCAUCAGGAAAGUCUUUCA
rnacentral:lncRNA from 1 species